AAAUUGAUGCAUCCAGUGGGGGAGCCAGGAAGUAUUGAUGUUUCUGCCAGUUUAGCGUCAACACUUGCUGGUUUCCUCUCUGGAGCAUCA
rnacentral:pre_miRNA from 1 species